CACGGAGUUAGCCGGGGCUUAUUCUCCCGGUACUGUCAUUAUCAUCCCGGGCAAAAGAGCUUUACAACCCUAAGGCCUUCAUCACUCACGCGGCAUUGCUGGAUCAGGCUUGCGCCCAUUGUCCAAUAUUCCCCACUGCUGCCUCCCGUAGGAGUCUGGGCCGUGUCUCAGUCCCAGUGUGGCUGAUCAUCCUCUCAGACCAGCUAAGGAUCGUCGCCUUGGUAGGCCUUUACCCCACCAACUAGCUAAUCCUACGCGGGCUCAUCCUCGGGCGAUAAAUCUUUGAUCUCGCGAUAUCAUCCGGUAUUAGCAGUCGUUUCCAACUGUUAUCCCAGACCCAAGGGCAGAUUCCCACGCGUUACGCACCCGUGCGCCACUAUGCCCCGAAAGACAUCGUUCGACUUGCAUGUGUUAGGCAUGCCGCCAGCGUUCGUUCUGAGCCAGGAUCAAACUCU
rnacentral:rRNA from 1 species